rnacentral:rRNA from 1 species
AUGAGCGAGGGAACGCGGGAGAUGAGGCGGCUGCGCGUUGGCAGCGCCGGCGGCGGGGGCGGCAGCAAGGCGAACGCGAGCGGCGGCAUCGGCAUCGGCAUCGCCGACGAGUGGAGCAGCGGGGGGCGCGGCAUUGGGGCGCGGAUCCGCGGGGUGAACGUGGGGAUCCUGGACGAGCAGGUGCUGGCGCUGGUGUUCCGGGCGCUCAACUGGGACCCGCAGGCGCUGUGCUCCGUGGCGCGGGUCAGCCGCCGCCUGCGCGCCGUCGCGGAGCGCGUGCUGUGGCGGGAGCUCUGCGUCUCGCGCGCGCCGCGGAUGGUGUCCACGCUCACCACGGGCUCCUCGGCCGCGUCGGGCCGCGUGGGCGGCGGGUGGCCGGCGCUGGCGAAGCUGCUGCUCUUCUGCUGCGGCGCGGCGGGGGCCGGCGUGCGGGGCCACUUCGCGCCCGUGUCGCGCUUCUCCAAGACGUCCGGCCGGAGCUUCCUGUCGCGCCGCUGCGGCGGGGACCUGCUGUACGUGUCGGACCCGUGCGAGCACGCGGCGGCCGGCGCCGCGGCCGACGAGGACGUGGGCGCCUACCGCGGCGUGUUCCGCGGCUUCAUGCGCUCCCGCACGCGCGCCUGCCUGGUGGGCGGGCGCGCCCCGCUGGAGCCCCGCGUGCGCUGCCCCUACUGCGGCGCGCGCGUCUGGAGCGUCACAGCGGCCGGCCUCGCGCCCCGCAGCGCGUGCCGCCGGCUCGGCGCGCACGAGGGCCGCCUCGAGUACUUUGUCUGCGUCAGCGGCCACCUCCACGGCAGCUGCUGGCUCGCGCGCCUCUCCUCCAGCGACGGCGGUGGCGAGGACACCGACUCUGACGACGACGGGUUCACUGCCACGGCCGACAGCGACGACGGGCACAUGGAGCUGUGA